CCUACGGGAGGCAGCAGUGGGGAAUAUUGCACAAUGGGGGAAACCCUGAUGCAGCGACGCCGCGUGAGUGAAGAAGUAUUUCGGUACGUAAAGCUCUAUCAGCAGGGAAGAAAAUGACGGUACCUGACUAAGAAGCCACGGCUAACUACGUGCCAGCAGCCGCGGUAAUACGUAGGGGGCAAGCGUUAUCCGGAUUUACUGGGUGUAAAGGGAGCGUAGACGGCAGCGCAAGUCUGGAGUGAAAUCCCAUGGCUUAACCAUGGGACUGCUUUGGAAACUGUGCAGCUAGAGUGCAGGAGAGGUAAGCGGAAUUCCUAGUGUAGCGGUGAAAUGCGUAGAUAUUAGGAGGAACACCAGUGGCGAAGGCGGCUUACUGGACUGUAACUGACGUUGAGGCUCGAAAGCGUGGGGAGCAAACAGGAUUAGAUACCCCUGUAGUC
rnacentral:rRNA from 1 species